CCGGUGCCUCUGGCAUGACCUGAGCGACACUUGCCUAUCAGGGGAGAUGGAAAGGAAUUCAGGGGAUUUGCACUGUUCUUGAUACUGCAGUACUUUGUCCUAGGCUGAGCAAACAACCAUCUGGUAUUAGGAUUUAUCGCUGACUGUGCUGGGAACAAUUUCAGAUGGAAUUUCUUUAACAGAAAAGGUAAACUACAGACUUCCAUCUGAAGGGAGAGGAGAUAAUUUAUUCAGUGAAAACAUUUAUAAUGCAGAUCCUGGCAAACUACAUUAUCCUAAGGAUGUAAAAGUUCUACGAAUGAAGCACUGAGAUGCAAUGUUUCCAAUCAAAUUCACAUUUACAUAUUUCAAGCUUAUUACAAAUCAAACAUCUCCUUAUUUUGUCACAGUUACUGAAGUCAGGACAGCCUGGGAAGUCAAAGGUGUAUGGGAACUGCUGAAUCACGGCCUGAAUCUCUGAUUGA